GGACAUGAGUUUGAGAAAUGGGGUCAGUCGAGUAGAAAUAUUCAACUAAUUGAAGAAAAAAUUCAAAAGCAUCCCCGACUUUAGAAAACCCUUCCUGCAAAGACUUAGAUAUCUCGUUACAAAAUGAGAGAUUUCCUUCACGCAUGUUUACAAGGUCGGACUAGGACUUCUGAUGGUUGUCUCAGAUUCCCUUAAAUCGUUCUCCAAAUCCUUAUCCUUCUUUUUUGAAGCUUCCAAGGACCUCUUUGCCUCAGUCAAAGCUUCUUACUUU
rnacentral:lncRNA from 1 species